rnacentral:rRNA from 1 species
GAUGAACGCUGGCGGCGUGCCUAAUACAUGCAAGUCGAGCGAACGGACGAGAAGCUUGCUUCUCUGAUGUUAGCGGCGGACGGGUGAGUAACACGUGGAUAACCUACCUAUAAGACUGGGAUAACUUCGGGAAACCGGAGCUAAUACCGGAUGAUAUUUUGAACCGCAUGGUUCAAAAGUGAAAGACGGUCUUGCUGUCACUUAUAGAUGGAUCCGCGCUGCAUUAGCUAGUUGGUAAUGUAACGGCUUACCAAGGCAACGAUGCAUAGCCGACCUGAGAGGGUGAUCGGCCACACUGGAACUGAGACACGGUCCAGACUCCUACGGGAGGCAGCAGUAGGGAAUCUUACGCAAUGGGCGAAAGCCUGACGGAGCAACGCAGCGUGAGUGAUGAAGGUCUUCGGAUCGUAAAACUCUGUUAUUAGGGAAGAACAUAUGUGUAAGUAACUGUGCACAUCUUGACGGUACCUAAUCAGAAAGCCACGGCUAACUACGUG